UACGGAGGGGGCUAGCGUUAUUCGGAAUUACUGGGCGUAAAGCGCACGUAGGCGGCCUUGUAAGUUAGAGGUGAAAGCCUGGAGCUCAACUCCAGAAUUGCCUUUAAGACUGCAUCGCUUGAAUCCAGGAGAGGUGAGUGGAAUUCCGAGUGUAGAGGUGAAAUUCGUAGAUAUUCGGAAGAACACCAGUGGCGAAGGCGGCUCACUGGACUGGUAUUGACGCUGAGGUGCGAAAGCCAGGGGAGCGAACGGG
rnacentral:rRNA from 1 species